GAUGAACGCUGGCGGCGUGCCUACUACAUGCAAGUCGAGCGAACAGAUGAGGAGCUUGCUCCUCUGACGUUAGCGGCGGACGGGUGAGUAACACGUGGAUAACCUACCUAUAAGACUGGGAUAACUUCGGGAAACCGGAGCUAAUACCGGAUAAUAUAUUGAACCGCAUGGUUCAAUAGUGAAAGACGGUUUUGCUGUCACUUAUAGUUGGAUCCGCGCCGCAUUAGCUAGUUGGUAAGGUAACGGCUUACCAAGGCAACGAUGCGUAGCCGACCUGAGAGGGUGAUCGGCCACACUGGAACUGAGACACGGUCCAGACUCCUACGGGAGGCAGCAGUAGGGAAUCUUCCGCAAUGGGCGAAAGCCUGACGGAGCAACGCCGCGUGAGUGAUGAAGGUCUUCGGAUCGUAAAACUCUGUUAUUAGGGAAGAACAAAUGUGUAAGUAACUAUGCACGUCUUGACGGUACCUAAUCAGAAAGCCACGGCUAACUACGUG
rnacentral:rRNA from 1 species